rnacentral:rRNA from 1 species
UAGGGGUGAAAGGCCAAUCAAACUCGGAUAUAGCUGGUUCUCCGCGAAAUCUAUUUAGGUAGAGCGUUGUGUAUUACCGCCGGGGGUAGAGCACUGGAUGGGCUAGGGGGGCGCGAGUCUUACCAAACCUAACCAAACUCCGAAUACCGGUGAGUAGAGCACAGCAGACAGACCAUGGGUGCUAAGGUCCAUGGUCGAAAGGGAAACAGCCCAGACCUCCAGCUAAGGUCCCCAAGUUAUGACUAAGUGGGAAAGGAUGUGGGAAGGCCAAGACAACCAGGAGGUUGGCUUAGAAGCAGCCAUCCUUUAAAGAAAGCGUAACAGCUCACUGGUCUAAAUAUUAAGCCGUCCUGCGCCGAAGAUGUAACGGGGCUAAAGUCAUACACCGAAGCUGAGGACUCCAGUUUACUGGAGUGGUAGCGGAGCGUUCCGUAAGCCUGCGAAGGUGCACCGUGAGGUGUGCUGGAGGUAUCGGAAGUGAGAAUGCUGGCAUGAGUAGCGAUAAAGAGUGUGAGAAACACUCUCGCCGAAAGUCCAAGGGUUCCUGCGCAAGGCUAAUCCGCGCAGGGUGAGCCGGCCCCUAAGCCGAGGCCGAAAGGCGUAGGCGAUGGGAACCAGGUUAAUAUUCCUGGGCCUGCUGGAUGUGACGAAGGCCGAAAGUUGUCUUUCCUUAUUGGAUUGGAGAGGCAGCCUGGGACUUCCAGGAAAUAGCACCAGCGAUAGACCGUACCCUAAACCGACACAGGUGGACAGGUAGAGUAUACCAAGGCGCUUGAGAGAACGGUGUUGAAGGAACUAGGCAAAAUACCCCCGUAACUUCGGGAGAAGGGGGACCUCUAUUUGGGCAACCAGAUUGGGGUGGCACAGACCAGGGGGUGGCGACUGUUUACUAAAAACAUAGGUCUCUGCGAAGUCGCAAGACGACGUAUAGGGACUGACGCCUGCCCGGUGCCGGAAGGUUAAGGAGAGGGGUGCAAGCUCUGAACCGAAGCCCCGGUAAACGGCGGCCGUAACUAUAACGGUCCUAAGGUAGCGAAAUUCCUUGUCGGGUAAGUUCCGACCUGCACGAAUGGCGUAACGACUGCCCCGCUGUCUCCAACACCGACUCAGCGAAAUUGAACUCUGAGUUAAGAUGCUCAGUACCCGCGGUCAGACGGAAAGACCCCGUGCACCUUUACUACAGCUUUGCAGUGGUAUUAGUGAAUAAAUGUGUAGGAUAGGCGGGAGGCUUUGAAGCAGCGGCGCCAGUCGUUGUGGAGCCAUCCUUGAAAUACCGCCCUUUUGUUUUCUGAUAUCUAACCGUGGCCCGUUAUCCGGGUCCGGGACCCUGCAUGGU